UACUAAGUACUAACCAUGUACUAACCCUAAAUGUUUGUGCUUGUUUUAGAUUUUUCAACAUCCGUACGCGUCUCAAAUCAUACCUUGUUUGUUCAUAAAGCCAACCCAUCCUAGAGCAGAGUCACAUCAACCACUUUGACAUUGGCAACUCACUACGGGGCCAUUUUUAAA